rnacentral:rRNA from 1 species
UGCGCAGGCGGUUCGUUUUGUGGGUGGUGAAAUCUCCUGGCUCAACUGGGAGGGGGCCAUCCAAACGGGCGAACUUGAGGCGUGGAGAGGGACGUGGAAUUCCGGGUGGAGCGGUGAAAUGCGUAGAGAUCCGGAGGAACACCGACGGCGAAGGCAGCGUCCUGGCCACGACCUGACGCUCAGGCACGAAAGCUGGGGGAGCAAACAGGAUUAGAUACCCUGGUAGUCCCAGCUGUAAACGAUGUCCACCAGGUGCUGGAGGUAUCGACCCCUUCGGUGCCGAAGCUAACGUGAUGAGUGGACCGCCUGGGGAGUACGGCCGCAAGGUUAAA